CGUGGGGUAGACUAUUUAAGUCUAUGGGCUCAUAACCUGGAAAUACGUGAGGUGCGUUCCCGUGG
rnacentral:tRNA from 1 species